rnacentral:pre_miRNA from 1 species
AAUGGAAUUGCUGGGUCAUAUGGUAACUGUUUCAUCUUUUAGGAACUGCACAACUGUUUUUCAAAGUGAUUAUACCAUUUUAUAUUCCCAGCAGCAGU